UUGGGUGAAAAUAGGAAACUACUCAUCAUCCAACCCACAUAAUAACACAAGACAGGAGAGCAAAAAACAACAACAAAAAAAACCAGAACAUCUCUCCAACUUUCCGUGGAAAAAUGUCGAGACAAUGAACACUGGUAGCUUAUUAAACCAUGGCCAAACACACAUAUGCCAUAAUUAGAGCCAAAUGUGGUUCAGGAAAAAAAUAUUGGAGCGUUUGUCUGUUUCCUUUGUAAUUCGUCUCUUGCUUCGGCCGGGUUACUGCAGGCAGAUCGAAUCAUAUUGCAGCCUGAAGCCAAACGAGGCAACGCGGCCGUGCAGCUCCGCUCUUUGUUUUUGUUUUUCACCGAGUGAAAAAAGAGGAAAGAUGCAACUCUGGUCAGCGUUCAGUGAUGUGAAACACCAGAGCUGCAUUUUAUUAGUUUGGUGUGAUGUGCAUUUUAUUUUUCAAUUGGAAUAAAGUAAAAUAAAAAAGUCAUCUUGUGUUGAUAUUGUUUUGCAUCUUUUAAUUGCAUUACCUAGAUCCAAAAGACUGUACGUUUAAAAAAAUAGCGUCAGAAAAAAAGAAUACAUACAUAUAUAUAUUCUUAGAACUACAUUUUGACUUUUGAAUAAAAAUGGAACGCUCAACAAAACAUCGUCCUUCAACUUAUUUUUCUAUUUAUGGAACAAAUCCUCCUUUGUUCAUAAAAUGACUUUUUGUUUCCAAGCAGCAGCGCUGGAAAACGUCUCUGAACCAACUUUUAAAAAAAUUGUUCUAAUUUGUUACAGCCAAUUUGACUUGUUUUGUUCAAGCUUUAAUUCUCAUUUCAGAAUUAUAAUUGUAUAAAUUCAAAUCUGCAUAACAGCUUGUGCCAAAACUAGUAUAAUUAACUUUUUUUUUUUUUAAGUUGGUUGGAAGAAACUUUUUUUCAGUGAGGACUCCGAGGCGGGAAGCGUCAUCCGUUACCAGUCAGCCGCUGGCUCUGGCUGGGAUCGGUGAUGUCAUUGGAAACCCGGGGAAGGAAGUGGCAGUGAAGUGGUUCAGCUGUGUCUCAGUGGGGGGUGAGGGGUCGUGGAGGUGGGGUGGGAUGGAGGGGAACAGAUUCCUCAGGAUCCAGGAAACAAACUCCGACUCAGGAAGCAGGAAACCUGUUAGUCACAUUAGCCACAGGGUCAUCCCAGGGAAGGGAAGGUCUCAGUGAAAGAAAACACUUUGCUUUAAAACAGCUUUAUUGUGAUGGAACAGCUGCAGAACUACAAUCUUAGACAAUAAAUGAAUAAAUAAAAAGUUUGACUUGCGCUCAGCAGGAGAAGAACGUGGAAGCUCCUGCAGCGAUGCACCUCAGGGAGGAACUACUCUUCUGAUUCUCCCUCCAUGUCAGUUGUAGCACAUGGUUCUGACUUGGGCAGAUCCAGGUCAAAGGUUUCUUUUAUGAUACAAACAGAACGGCUGCAUUAAACCGCUUGGAGACGGGAACUGAGUUUUGGGAAAAUGCCGAGUAGGUUUUAGGCCCGAGCAGCUAACAGAGCCUGGUUCUGCUGGCGGUUUCUUCCUCUUGCUCCCUGUUCCCACAUGCUGGCCAAAGACCGCUGCAAAGUGAAUAACUUGAUGCAAUCAUUGAGCAGUGUCCCCACGGCAUGAUGCAGUUCAGCGUACAUUAACUAUCCUGACCCUUUGUGCCUCUGUUUGGUCCAUUCUGAUGGGGAGAUACUACAGCAGAGGUACAACUCCUAAUAAGCUUUGUACUUGGCUCAUGGAGCUCCUCAUCUGCUGCCUCUCUAGCGCACCAACAAGAUCAGAUUUGGAAAGAAGUUGCCUUUUACAGUUUGAUCGUCUCGGUCACCGUUCUCUGUGGCCCAGGAACAAAUGGUCCGGUGGUUGGGGACCAUUGGUUGCAAAACGUUUUUUGGGUUUAACAUGUGCUGCCUGCAGAGAAUCACACCUAGAACUCUGUAGCUCUUCCAGUUACCAUGGUUGCAUAUGUCAU